rnacentral:rRNA from 1 species
AUACGUAGGGUGCAAGCGUUAAUCGGAAUUACUGGGCGUAAAGCGUGCGCAGGCGGUUUUGUAAGACAGUGGUGAAAUCCCCGGGCUCAACCUGGGAACUGCCAUUGUGACUGCAAGGCUGGAGGGCGGCAGAGGGGGAUGGAAUUCCGCGGGUAGGAGUGAAAGGCGUAGAUAUGCGGAGGAACACCGAUGGCGAAGGCAAUCCCCUGGGCCUGCACUGACGCUCAUGCACGAAAGCGUGGGGAGCAAACAGGAUUAGAUACCCUGGUAGUCCACGCCCUAAACGAUGUCAACUGGUUGUUGGGGAUUUAUUUUCUCAGUAACGAAGCUAACGCGUGAAGUUGACCGCCUGGGGAGUACGGCCGCAAGGUUAAAACUCAAAUGAAUUGGCGGGG